CCUACUAUAGUUUAUUUAAAACAUUGAAUUGCAAAUUCAAAAAUGAAAAUUACAUUCUAGUAAGU
rnacentral:tRNA from 1 species